rnacentral:rRNA from 1 species
CGUCAAGUCAGUAUGGCCCUUACGGCCAGGGCUGCACACGUACUACAAUGCCCGGUACAAAGGGACGCAAGGCGGCAACGCGGAGCAAAUCCCCAAAACCGGGCCCAGUUCAGAUUGCCGGCUGCAACUCGCCGGCAUGAAGCUGGAAUCGCUAGUAAUGGCGCAUCAGCUACGGCGCCGUGAAUACGUUCCCAGGCCUU